rnacentral:rRNA from 1 species
CCUACGGGAGGCAGCAGUGGGGGAUAUUGCACAAUGGGGGAAACCCUGAUGCAGCGACGCCGCGUGAGUGAAGAAGUAUUUCGGUAUGUAAAGCUCUAUCAGCAGGGAAGAAAAUGACAGUACCUGACCAAGAAGCCCCGGCUAACUACGUGCCAGCAGCCGCGGUAAUACGUAGGGGGCAAGCGUUAUCCGGAUUUAUUGGGUUUAAAGGGUGCGCAGGCGGAAUGUCAAGUCAGCGGUAAAAUUUCGGGGCUCAACCCCGUCGUGCCGUUGAAACUGGCGUUCUUGAGUGAGCGAGAAGUAUGCGGAAUGCGUGGUGUAGCGGUGAAAUGCAUAGAUAUCACGCAGAACUCCGAUUGCGAAGGCAGCAUACCGGCGCUCAACUGACGCUCAUGCACGAAAGCGUGGGUAUCGAACAGGAUUAGAUACCCCAGUAGUC